rnacentral:lncRNA from 7 species
AUACUCUGAGCAACUCCCACGCAGCCAGGGGAUUUUCUCGGUGUCUGGGCUGGCAUGCCAUGAAAAUGUGUUUUUCAACUGUAACGAACCAUUAAUACUUCAUGGGCUCACAUGCAGUUUAAAUUGCUCCAGUGAGGACCUGCAGAUUCAUCACAAUUCUGUGCUUGGUAAAAGGCACUGAGGGUUAGACUCCUAGCAGCAGUCUGUCUCCUGUUUGCAGCCGGUUAUCGGGAAAUAAAUGAUCACCACAUAUGGACAUGCAAAAGAAGAAAAUGCCUGGUCACUGGAAGCAUAACAAAAAAGUCCCUUUGAUUUUGGAGCACUGGAGCCAUAGAGCUUUUUGAGAUUUCUCCAUUAUCAUGAAGAUGUGGAAGGUCCUUCUGGUUUCCAAGAAAAGCUGGGACUCUUGUACAACUGCUUCCCUCCAGAAUCUUGUGCCCUAUCUCCUGUCUUAAUUCCAGCCCCAGUCUGCAAGUACCUCAAGACUUUCAAUUAAAUCUGUUGUCAAUGUAAUUGCGAUCACUGACAACAUGGUGUCACUGGAAGAGUUCCUUUGCCCAUAGCUGAAGGAUUUGGGUGCCCUCUCUAUUUCACAUCUGCAGUGAUGUCCAGGGCAUAGUUUACCUGCUUCGUAAAAUAAUGUCUUAUUUGCACAGCAACCUCAGCUAUGGAAUGAAAAUAUCUUCUCUGGCCCAAAUUGUGAACUGUUAGAAAUCUGGCAGAACCCAUGGUGGAGGUGACUGCACCUCAGUGGUGGGAAGACUGAUAUUAAUUUUGUUCUGGCACUGUUCCCAUAAAUGAAACUUCUAUAAUAUUUCUCUUCGAGGUACAUAGGAGUUUUGCAUUCUGUGAGCCUUCAGGGUAAGGUCAUCCGUUUGUAAAACACUAAAAGAGUGACUGAGAUGAAUGCUAUAAUGAGGUUUGUUUGUCAAAGAUUUUUUCUGUCUUUAUGUUUGAUUUCCCUUGAAAUGAUGAGAGUUGACUUUUGCACCCAACACUUCAAUCUUUUUCAAAACUAGCUGUGCUCAGUAGGACUCACUUGUAGAAUUACAUCACUGAUGAGCAUUUUUGAUACAGUGCUUAUUCCACUGUGUAUUCCUAACAUAAUGAGUUAUAACUUUGCUGCUAAUUAGGUGUGCCACUGGCUGAAAUUUAAAAUCAAAAUCCUCUCCAAGGCUGUAGCUAACAUUCAGCAUCGUAAUGUCAUAAACAUGUGUAAGCAGCAGUUUGCUCUGUUCCUGCACCUGUGGGGACUUCUGCUUGCCACUCUAUGGGCCACUGUCUGAGCCAGAAUAGUUGUUUGUAUGGCCACAGAGGAAACUGGGAAAGGAAACUGAUGCAAGUGAAACAGAAAUCAGGAAACACAAAUGGUUAUUUUUUCAGCAGGAUCAGUUCCCUGACCUGGCUCAUCGCGCAGUCCUGUGAACAGCUGAGCUCACAUAGUGCAGAAGAUGGUGUAAGGAGGUUAAAGUGGCUAUGAGUAUCUCCACUGCUGCUUAGGGGAAACACAGCCUUAGUUACCUCUCUUGUGGUCCUAGGAUUUUAUAACUGAUAAUCUGUAUGCAAGGUCUUUUCCAAGGACAGAUCUUACAUUAAUGAAUUAACAGAGUACCAAAAGCAAGCAUUAGCGUAACUCGCUAUAUCUGAGCACAGUGUUCAGAAUGAUGUCCUGUUCUGGGCCCUCAAUGGCCUGCGACAGAAAAAGGUAAAUGAGAACCCUAUAGCAGCCACAUUCCUCUUUCUUCUAUGAAUAGAAGUUUCACUACCAAAGCUCUGAAGAACAGACACUCCUGUAGUGGUGGCACAAAAUAAUUUCACAGUUGCUGUAUAAGAUGGACUGUACACCUUGCAAGAUCUCAUAGGAAAACUAUUUAAUAUAAUUGAGUUUUUCUUGUCACCCUUGUUAUACAAUUCCACUGAGAAGCUGAGUUUUUACUGGAAUAAUACUACUAAAAAAAAAAAAACAAAAACAAAAACCAACCAAACAAAACAAAAAAAAACCCAAAGGAAAUUAAACCACAAACAACUAUAUUCAAAAAAAUACAAAGGGUCUGGCUCAUGCCCAAAAAAACAAGGAAAUUUAAAGAUAAAGAAAGCUGUCCUUAUUUCACCCCGUUGUGCCUGAGGACAGCUGGGGUUUCCAAAGCUGGCAGGCCGUACUGUGACCUGUUCCACUGAGGGUGAGCCCUUGCCGCAGACAAACCGGACUUUCUCUCUGGCUCCUUAAUGGGAAAGUCAUGUGGCACUACUGAAACCCAGGCUCUGACAUCUAAAAGCCCCCUUGGCCAUGUGUGUGGCUGGGAUGGAUUAGGGCUCCAGGCUUGCUGACAAGAUGUGGAGUAGCGGAAGAUGCAAGCAGGCUGUACUUCCCUUGGUUUGGCUGAGUGGCGCCCAGUUCCCUAGGACUUCUGCCUCAGACCGGUGGAUGGCCUGGUCCAGCCUGCCAAGCGUGAGUAUGGGCCACUGUCAGGAAAACCAACCCCAACCAACAGAGACACCUCUGCUCACAUCCGGCCUGAACAGGCUGGUGGUGCUUGGAGGGCAGACAGGGCAGUGGGGGGAUAAUUACUAAGAAAAAAAUUUCAAAAUAAAGUAAUCCACCUUGCAUGAUCAUUUGUUAAGCAAAUGCUUUCCAUGCUUAAUGCAUUUGCUGAUUUCGUUAUGACAUUUAGCAGCAUGGUCUGUGUUUGCUGUCCAUGCUUAUGGGCCUCUUCCAACCUUGUAACGUCUUGGAGGACCAAAUACACUCUUUCUAAUUUUUAUUCUUUUGUUAUUCUGGUUGUUUUACUAUUGCCACAAGCCUUCAGAGAAGCUAGUUCUUACAGUUUUGUCUCAUAACUCAUUAACUUUGCACUAUCUAUUUCAUUUAUUCCUGAAUCCUUUAAAUAUCAAAGGAUUUUCUCUACCAUCUUUCUGAGCUUAUGUGGUGAAUGUAUGUGCUUUCAUUCAAAAUAAAAUUAAAAGGCAUAGAUCUUGGAUGUGAAAAUGUGCCAAAGCACUGGGUAAAAAUCUGUUAUUUCCCCAUCUGUGACUUCUGCGUCUCGGAAAAUGCUCAUUGCAUUGUUUAUGUCUUAGCAGAGAAUAAAAUGCACAUAUGUCAU